rnacentral:rRNA from 1 species
UACAGAGGUCUCAAGCGUUGUUCGGAUUCAUUGGGCGUAAAGGGCGCGUAGGCGGCGGGGUCAGUCGGGUGUGAAAUCUUGGGGCUUAACCCCGAAACGGCACUCGAAACUGCCCGGCUGGAGGGCCGGAGAGGAGAUCGGAAUUCACGGUGUAGCAGUGAAAUGCGUAGAUAUCGUAAGGAAGACCAGUGGCGAAGGCGGGUCUCUGGACAGUUCCUGACGCUGAGGCACGAAGGCCAGGGGAGCAAACGGG